rnacentral:lncRNA from 1 species
AAGGUCUGGACCUCUAGCGGACAAAAAGCUAUUAGACAGUAAGAAAAUCCUAGCCACUGCGACUCCACCCACUGGCAGCAUCUCGGAGAUGCUUCUCUCUACCCACAACAAAAAUGGCCGGCGCGGGAGCCGGUCCAAAGCGCUGACAUGAGGAAAUUUGCUCCGCCUUGCUAUGAGCAAACUGCCCUUCUCAAAGAUGGCCACUGCGGCGCCUCUAGGACCAAAGUGCUCUGGGCCCCGCCUUUGAUCUCGUUGGUGGGGCUAGGGGAUGAGGACUGCGCCGCGCGGGACAAGUCGCCGGCGGCGCCCGAUGGAGCAGGCCUGUCUCGUCCUGUGACCUCCCAGCAAGGCCGCAGCUUCAUCCCUGUACCUUCGGGCCACUAGCUAUUCUGGAUGCUUAAGAGUGCCUCGCUAACGGUUAUAAGAAGCGCUUGCUUCAAGGGUCGGCCAUCAUCGUGAUCCCACUUCCUGUGCUCCACCUCCCCGGGUUUGUGAUGGUAGGAUCCCUUGUUCCCCACAAUGUCCUUGGUACCUUCAAGACCUGACUUGGAGAUCAGGGUGGAAUGAUAUUUUCUGGAGCCUUCAUUAUGCUUCAUUAAGACUUUAUAGAAGGGACUGGGAAUAGUGAAGGCCUCUGUGCUAGACCCCUUACUACUCCCUGAGUUCCCAAGGACUUCUUCCACACUGGCUUCCCAGGAUUCCUCCUCCCACACAUGGCCUGCUCUCUAAACAGUGAGCACCUCUCCACUCUAAGGGAGUAGAUUGGUACAUCUCACCCCUCUCUAAAUUGCCCAAAGGGUGCCGGUUUGUCCCUGGGCCUGCGGGAGGCUCCCGGGACAUCUGGGGGCAGUGAGGAUGGGUUGGUAAGGUUAGCUGCAGAGAGGAAAUGAGGCCUGCAGAAUGGAGUUUGCAGAUGCAGACGGAAAGAUGUUCUGAGCAGCGAGAAGGGUCGAGCAAAGAUUCUGAAGUAGGCCAGACUUGCUGGCCAUUCGGGAAGGGAUCAUAACACAGGUGUGGACCACACCAUUGGUAUCAUGAGAGGUGGUGUAGUAGUUAACGUAAAAUUGUGGUGCCAGGCUGCCUGUAUGUGAAUCUGCCCUGUGACCUUGGGCAAGUUUUUAUUUUUUAAAAAAUAUUUUUAUUAUUUUCGUUUUAUGUGUAUGAGUGUGUCGCCUGCAUGUAUGUGAGUGCACCCGUGUCGUGCAAUGCCUUGGAGGUCAGAAGAGAGCUUCGGAUUCCCCUGGAACUGGAGUUAAGGACAGUUGGUAGCCGCCAUGUGGGUGCUGGGAAUCGAACCCGGGUCCUCUGCAAGAGCAGUCAGUGCUCUUAACCUCUGAGCCAUCUCUCCAGCCCCCUCUCUUU